rnacentral:rRNA from 1 species
CAGCGCCGCGGGAAUACGAAGGGGGCUAGCGUUGUUCGGAAUUACUGGGCGUAAAGCGCACGUAGGCGGAUCGAUCAGUCAGGGGUGAAAUCCCGCAGCUCAACUGCGGAACUGCCUUUGAUACUGUCGGUCUAGAGUAUGGAAGAGGUGAGUGGAAUUCCGAGUGUAGAGGUGAAAUUCGUAGAUAUUCGGAGGAACACCAGUGGCGAAGGCGGCUCACUGGUCCAUUACUGACGCUGAGGUGCGAAAGCGUGGGGAGCAAACAGGAUUAGAUACCCCCGUAGUCCCUGUCUCUUAUACA